rnacentral:lncRNA from 10 species
GGAGAAAGACACAGACCUGUCUUCAGGUCAUUGCCUUAACCUUGGCAAAAUAAACUUCUAAAUGGAUUGAGACCUGUCUCAGAUACUUUUUGGUUUACAAGGGCGAGCUCACAAGGCUUUAGCGGACCUCUGGGAGCGUGCACAAAGAAGGGACGCUUGAAUUGCUUGUUUUCUCAAGAAGUGUCAGGUCUGAGAGCCUGAAGCUACCCAGCCAAGUACUCCUCACGUCUCCUCCCUGCCUUACAGGGAGGGGAUUCAGCGUUGGUUUUGACUGUCACCAGGACUGGACAUCCUGAUGACCGAAAAAGCAGAUGGCGUUUGUGACUAUAUAUACAUAAUACAACAGAGAAAGCCAAAAAUCCAAGGAACUGCAAGAAUUUUUAUCCGGGUGAAGAUUAUCCUGACAGAGAAAAGUUAGGUGAGGAAGACAAAAACAAAGCUGUAUUUGGAUAAUGUCACGAGUCCUGUUUGUUCAACACACUGGACACAGCAAGACGACUGACUGAAUUAGCCUCCCAUGGCCUCUGCCCAGGCUGGAUAAGAACCUCAAACCUAGGAGGGAGUGGAGGAGACGGAGCUUGGAGAGGUGAGUUAGGCAUGGGGGGAGGGCUGUGUCUCCCAUGCCUCCUCUGACUUGCUCUAGGGAGUUGGCUGGAGGCGAAAGUAGAACUCUCCGCCCUCCUUAAAGUUUGGGAAACCUGAGAGUGGAGAGAUCUUUUGCCUCGUUGCUGGUGGAAGUGAGACAGCCAGGUGGGAAGGGCUCCCUGGCAGAACCUCUGAUGGCCUGCGCACCAUGGGGAAUGCGCUCUGAUGUGGAGCCCUGGGAAGUUCACGCCCUUUGCAGCGGGGAGGAGCCUGGCAUCUCUCUCCUGUUCCGGGGUGUGGUACCUGGGAUUGCAUCUGCGAGGUGGGAAGUGCACUAGCAGGGACUCUGGCUGUCAGGCCUCUGAGCCCAAGCCCAGCCAUCGCAUCCCCUGUGACUUGCACAUAUAUGCCCAGAUGGCCUGAAGUAACUGAAGAAUCACAAAAGAAGUGAAUAUGCCCUGCCGCACCUUAACUGAUGACAUUCCACCACAAAAGAAGUGUAAACGGCCGGUCCUUGUCUUAAGUGAUGACAUUACCUUGUGAAAGUCCUUUUCCGAGCUCAUCCUGGCUCAAAAAGCACCCCCACUGAGCACCUUGGGACCCCCGCCCCUGCCCACCAGAGAACAACCCCCUUUGACUGUAAUUUUCCUUUACCUUCCCAAAUCCUAUAAAACGGCCGCACCCCUAUCUCCCUUGGCUGACUCUCAUUUCGGACUCAGCCCGCCUGCACCCAGGUGAAAUAAACAGCCAUGUUGCUCACACAAAGCCUGUUUGGUGGUCUCUUCACACGGACACGCAUGAAAUUUGGUGCCAUGACUCGAAUUGGGGGACCUCCCUUGGGAGAUCAAUCCCCUGUACUGCUGUUCUUUGCUCCAUGAGAAAGAUCCACCUACGACCUCAGGUCCUCAGACCGACCAGCCCAAGGAACAUCUCACCAAUUUUAAAUCAGGUUAGCGGCCUCUUCUUACUCUCUUCUCCAGCCUCUCUCUGUCCCUCAACCACACUUUCUCCUUUCCACUCUUCAAUCUCUCCCUUCUCUUAAUUUCAAUUCCUUUCAUUUUCUGAGACAGACAAAGGAGACACGUUUUAUCCGUGGACACAAAACUCUGGCGCCGGUCACGGACUGGGAAGGCAGCUUUCCCUUGGUGUUUAAUCAUUGCAGGGACACCUCUCUGAUUAUACACCCACGUUUCAAGGGUGUCAGACCACGCAGGGACGCCUGCCUUGGUCCUUCACCCUUAGCGGCAAGUCCCACUUUUCUGGGGAAGGUGCAAGUACCUCAACCCCUUCUCUCCUUGUCCCUACCCAUUCUCUGCUUUUCCGGGGACAGGGCAAGUACCCCAACCCCUUCUCUCCUUGUCUCUACCCUUCUCUGCUUUUCUGGGAGAGGGGCAAGUACCUCAACCCCUUCUCUCCGUGUCUCUACCCCUUCUCUGCUUUCCUGGGGCAGGGGUAAGUACCCCUCAACCCCUUCUCCUUCACCCUUAGCGGCAAAUCCCACUUUCCUAGGGGGAAAGAACCCCCCAAUCGCUUAUUUCCGCACCCCAACCUCUUAUCUCUGCACCCCAAUACCUUAUUUCCGCACCCUGACCUCUUAUCUCUGUGCCUCAAUCCCUUAUUUCCGUGCCCCAACCCCUUCUCUGCUUUUCUGGAGGGCAGGAACCCCUCACCCCUUCUCCGUGUCUCUACUCUUUUCUCUGGGCUUGCCUCCUUCACUAUAGGUAAGCUUCCACCUUCCAUUCCUCCUUCUUCUCCCUUGGCCUGUGUUCUCAAAAACUUAAAAUCUCUUCAACUCACACCUGACCUAAAACCUAAAUGCCUUAUUUUCUUCUGCAAUGCCGCUUGACCCCAAUACAAACUCGACAGUAGUUCCAAAUAGCCAGAAAAUGGCACUUUCAAUUUUUCCAUCCUACAAGAUCUAAAUAAUUCUUGUCAUAAAAUGGGCAAAUGGUCUGAGGUGCCUGACGUCCAGGCAUUCUUUUACACAUCAGUCCCUUCCUAGUCUCUGUGUCCAGUGCAACUCAUCCCAAAUCUUCCUUCUUUCCAUUCUGCCUGUCCCCUUAGUCCCAACCCCAAGCGUCACUGAGUCUUUCUAAUCUUCCUUUUCUACAGACCCAUCUGACCUCUUCCCUCCUCGCCAGCCCAAGCUACGUCCCAAUUCUUCCUCAGCCUCCGCUCCUCCACCCUAUAAUCUUUUUAUCACCUCCCCUCCUCACACCUGGUCCGGCUUACAGUUUCGUUCCGUGACUAGCCCUCCCCCACCUGCCCAGCAAUUUACUCUUAAAAAGGUGGCUGGAGCCAAAGACAUAGUCAAGGUUAAUGCUCCUUUUUCUUUAUCCCAAAUCAGAUAGCAUUUAGGCUUUUUCAUCAAAUAUAAAAACCCAGCCCAGUUAAUGGCUCGUUCGGCAGCAACCCUGAGACACUUUACAGCCCUAGACCCUAAAAGGUCAAAAGGCCGUCUUAUUCUCAAAAUACAUUUUAUUACCCAAUCUGCUCCCAACAUCAAAUAAAACACCAAAAAUUAAAUUCUGGCCCUCAAACCCCACAACAGGAUUUAAUUAACCUCAUCUUCAAGGUGUACAAUAACAGAAAAAAGUUGCAAUUCCUUGCCUCCACUGUGAGACAAACCCCAGCCACAUCUCCAGCACACAAGAACUUCCAAAUGCCUGACCCACAGCGGCCAGGCAUUCCUCCAGAACCUCCUCCCCCAGGAGCUUGCUACAUGUGCCGGAAAUCUGGCCACUGGGCCAAGGAAUGCCCGCAGCCCGGGAUUCCUCCUAAGCCGCGUCCCCUCUGUGUGGGACCCCACUGAAAAUCGGACUGUUCAACUCACCUGACAGCCACUCCCAGAGCCCCUGGAACUCUGGCCCAAGGCUCUCUGACUCCUUCCCAGAUCUUCUCAGCUUAGCGGCUGAAGACUGACACUGCCCGAUCCCCUCGGAAGCCCCCUAAACCAUCAUGGACGCCGAGCUUGGGGUAACUCUCACAGUGGAAGGUAAGCCCGUCCCCUUCUUAAUCAAUACGGAGGCUACCCACUCCAUAUUACCUUCUUUUCAAGGGCCUGUUUCCCUUGCCUCCAUAACUGUUGUGGGUAUUCACGGCCAGGCUUCUAAACCUCUUGAAACUCCCCAACUCUGGUGCUAACUUGGACAAUACUCUUUUAAGCACUCCUUUUUAGUUAUCCCCACCUGCCCAGUUCCCUUAUUAGGCUGAGACACUUUAAAUUAUCUGCUUCCCUGACUAUUCCUAGACUACAGCUAUAUCUCAUGGCCGCCCUUUUUCCCAAUCCAAAGCCUCCUUUGCGUCCUCCUCUUGUAUCCCCCCACCUUAACCCACAAGUAUAAGAUACCUCUACUCCCUCCUUGGAGACCGAUCAUGCACCCCUUACCAUCUCAUUAAAACCUAAUCACCCUUACCCCACUCAACACCAAUAUCCCAUCCCACAGCAGGCUUUAAAAAGAUUAAAGCCUGUUAUCACUCGCCUGCUACAGCAUGGUGUUUUAAAGCCUAUAAACUCUCCUUAUAAUUCCCCCAUUUUACCUGUCCUAAAACCAGACAAGCCUUACAAUUUAGUUCAGGAUCUGCACCUUAUCAACCAAAUUGUUUUGCCUAUCCACCCCGUGGUGCCAAACCCAUAUACUCUCCUAUCCUCAAUACCUGCCUCUACAACCCAUUAUUCUGUUCUGGAUCUCAAACAUGCUUUCUUUACUAUUCCUUUGCAUCCUUAAUCCCAGCCUCUCUUCGCUUUCACUUGGACUGACCCUGACACCCAUCAAGCUCAGCAAAUUACCUAGGCUGCACUGCCGCAAAGCUUCACAAACAGCCCCCAUUACUUCAAUCAAGCCCAAAUUUCUUCCUCAUCUGUUACCUAUCUCGGCAUAAUUCUCAUAAAAACACAUGUGCUCUCCCUGCCAAUCGUGUCCAACUGAUCUCUCAAACCCCAGCACCUUCUACAAAACCACAACUCCUUUCCAUCCUAAGCAUGGUUAGCUCGGUCAGAAUUCUUACACAAGAGCCAGGACCACACCCUGUAGCCUUUCUGUCCAAACAACUUGACCUUACUGUUUUAGCCUAGCCCUCAUGUCUGCGUGCAGCAGCUGCCACUGCUUUAAUACUUUUAGAGGCCCUCAAAAUCACAAACUGUGUUCAACUCACUCUCUGCAGUUCUCAUAACUUCCAAAAUCUAUUUUCUUCCUCAUACCUGACGCAUAUACUUUCUGCUUCCCGGCUCCUUCAGCUGUACUCACUGUUUGUUGAGUCUCCCACAAUUACCAUUGUUCCUGGCCCAUACUUCAAUCCAGCCUCCCACAUUAUUCCUGAUACCACACCUGACCCCCAUGACCGUAUCUCUCUGAUCCACCUGACAUUCACAUUUCCCCAAAUUUCCUUCUUUCCUGUUCCUCACCCUGAUCACGCUUGAUUUAUUGAUGGCGGUUCCACCAGGCCUAAUCGCCACACACCAGCAAAGGCAGGUUAUGCUAUAGUACAAGCCACUAGCCCGCCUCUUAGAACCUCUCAUUUCCUUUCCAUUGUGGAAAUCUAUCCUCAAGGAAAUAACUUCUCAGUGUUCCAUCUGCUAUUCUACUACUCCUCAGGGAUUAUUCAGGCCCCCUCCCUUCCCUACACAUCAAGCUCGAGGAUUUGCCCCACCCAGGACUGGCAAAUUAGCUUUACUCAACAUGCCCCGAGUCGGAUAACUAAAAUACCUCUUAGUCUAGGUAGACACUUUCACUGGAUAGGUAGAGGCCUUUCCUACAGGGUCUGAGAAGGCCACCACAGUCAUUUCUACCCUUCUGUCAGACAUAAUUCCUCAGUUUAGCCUUCCCAUCUCAAUACAGUCUGAUAACAGACCAGCCUUUAUUAGUCAAAUCAGCCAGCAGUUUUUCAGGCUCUUAGUAUUCAGUGAAACCUUUAUAUCCCUCACGGUCCUGCGUCUUCAAGAAAAGUAGAAUAGACUAAAGGUCUUUUAAAAACACACCUCACCAAGCUCAGCCACCAACUUAAAAAGGACUGGACAAUACUUUUACCACUUUCCCUUCUCAGAAUUCAGGCCUGUCCUCAGAAUGCUACAGGGUACAGCCCAUUUAAGCUCCUGUAUAGACGCUCCUUUUUAUUAGGCCCCAGUCUCAUUCCAGACACCAGACCGACUUUGACUGUGCCCCAAAAAAAAUUGUCAUCCCUACUAUCUUCUGUCUAGUCAUACUCCUAUUCACCGUUCUCAACUACUCAUACAUGCCUUGCUCUUGUUUACACUGCCGGUUUACACUGUUUCUCCAAGCCAUCACAGCUGAUAUCUCCUCCUGCUAUCCCCAAACUGCCACUCUUAACUCUUGAAGUAAAUAAAUAAUCUUUGCUGGCAGGACUAUGCUGAAUCUCCUUAGGCACUCUCUAAUCAGAUAUCCUGAGUCAUCCCAAUUCUUAGAACUUUUAUACCUGUUUUUCUCCUUCUGUUAUUCCAUUUAGUUUUUCAAUUCAUCCAAAACCGUAUCCAGGCCAUCACCAAUCAUUCUAUACGACAAAUGUUUCUUCUAACAUCCCCACAAUAUCACCCCUUACCACAAGACCUCCCUUCAGCUUAAUCUCUCCCACUCUAGGUUCCCACACUGCCCCUAAUCCCGCUUGAAGCAGCUCUGACAAACAUCGCCCAUUCUCUCUCCAUACCACUCCCUAAAAAUUUUCGCUGCCCCAACACUUCAACACUAUUUUGUUUUAUUUUUCUUAUUAAUGUAAGAAGUCAGGAAUGUCAGGCCUCUGAGCCCAAGCCAAGCCAUCGCAUCCCCUGUGACUUGCACGUAUAAGCCCCGAUGGCCUGAAGUAACUGAAGAAUCACAAAAGAAGUGAAUAUGCCCUGCCCCACCUUAACUGAUGACAUUCCACCACAAAAGAAGUGUAAAUGGCCGUUCCUUGCCUUAAGUGAUGACAUUACCUUGUGAAAGUCCUUUUCCUAGCUCAUCCUGGCUCAAAAAGCUCCCCCACUGAGCACCUUGGGACCCUUGCCCCUGCCCACCAGAGAACAACCCCCUUUGACUGUAAUUUUCCUUUACCUUCCCAAAUCCUAUAAAAUGGCCCCACCCCUAUCUCCCUUGGCUGACUCUCAUUUCGGACUCAGCCCGCCUGCAUCCAGGUGAAAUAAACAGCCAUGUUGCUCACACAAAGCCUGUUUGGUGGUCUCUUCACACGGACGCGCAUGAAACCGGCCUUGCAGAGAGUCCCUGUUUCCCUCUUUUCCUUUUCACCCAAGAAACGCUGCCCUUCUCACCCUUCAAAUAGUGUGCGAGCCUAAUUUUUUGUGGUCGUGUGAUGAGGACCCCAUCUUUAGUUGAACUAAGGAAAGUGUCUUACAACAGAAGUGCCAGAGAGGUGGCCAGCUUGGUAUAGAAGUGACCCUUGCUGCUAUCCUGGAGGUCAGCUGUAACAGCGGAAGGGGUGGUGGGGCUUGUUGGGGCUUGAGAAGGCUGAAGACAGCCUGUGCCACACUGCCUGCUGUGAUUUCUGAGGACCCAGAGUGCCAUGAGAGAUGAUCUCCAUCAAUCACAGAAUAGGCAAAAAACAUAGUUUCCAGAAAGAGAAAAAAAAUGGACCCAAACCACAUAUAAAGAGGUAGACCUCAGGCCGGGCAUGGUGGCUCAUGCCUGUAAUCCCAGUACUUUGGGAGGCCGAGGUGGGCAGAGUCAGGAGUUUGAGACCAGCCUGAUUAACAUGGUGAAACCCUUUCUCUACUAAAAAUACAAAAAUUAGCCGGGUGUAGUGGUGGGUGCCUGUAAUCCCAGCUACUCGGGAGGCUG